UGCUGAGAUUACAAGCGUGAGCCACUGUGCCCCGCCGAGAGUUUUUCUUUUUCCUUUCCUCACGGAAGAUCAUCUUGCUGGAUGCAGAAUUCCAGGCUGGUGCUGUUUUGUUUCAAUAUUUGGAUACCUCUGUCCCCUCUCUGCUGCUUGAGUGGCUUCGGUCGGGAGGUCUGAUCCAUUUCUUACUCUCUUGGUUGGUAAUGCAGGGCUCCCUCUGCUCAGGGUGUCUCAUUUUCUGCAGUUGGAUAUGAUAUGGCUAAGUGUGAAGUUUUUGGUAUUUUUCCUGCUUGAUGUUCUCUGAGUUUCCUGGAUCUGGGAUUUAGUUUCGACAAAUCUCAGCCAUUAUCACGGCAGAUACCUCCUGUGUUCUCUCCUCGCCUCCUUCUCCUUCUGGUUUUCCUGUGCCACCGGGUCAGCCUCCCUCCCAGGAGGCCCCUAGACUCCAGGUACCUGGGCAGCCCGGGCAGGUGAGAGAGGACCCCAGGGAACUGGCUUUGCUUUCACUGGGGUGAGGUCCUCAUGGUGUUCUGCUCUAGCUUGUUCCCAUGAUGUCAGGUCUGGGCGUUCCCCUGCAGCUCAGUGUCACAGCUGCCCUGUGCCCAUGGCGUGCUGGCCUCUGAAGGCUGCUGGGAACUGCAGGGUUAGAGCUGCAGGAAGGUGAGGGUGGGGCCGCAAGGUGCUGGGUCCAGGUCCGGGUGCCCUCCUUGAUGGGAGUGCCAGGGUCACGUUGGGGCUGUGGAUAGCAAUCUCGGGCCUCAUGAGUUCCUCCUUCCAGCUGCCCAGAGCGGGGCUUAGUGCCCCCAAUCAUGGAGAGCUACUUCCAGUGGUCUCACCAGUGAGGCUGUCCAUGGCGCUGCCUCCCCGGGCUGGGCGCUGACCCCAUGACUGCAGGGUUGCAGCCUGGGCGGCUCUUCUGUUUGCAGCACCGGCUGGGGCUCUGCCCCUCCGUGGUCUCAGCGGUGGGGCAGACACAACAGCCCGCGGCCACUGAGUCCUCUUCCCUCAGCCCCGUGCCUGCCUGGCAGUUUUGAAGAUCAAAUGAGGUAACGUGUGCUUAAGUCAUAUGUAGCAUUAGCAUGCUGUGCUGAUGUCACCAAUUAAAAUCUGCCUGAGUGAAUCAUAAUUGAAAACAGUCAGUUGUCAGAAAAAAAACCUUGUUAGGGGCAGCAGGCCCAGGAAAGAGAAACGAGGGAAAGACAGGAGACAAAGCGUUCUGGGGUUGGUUGGGGGCGGCCAGGGCAUCCGGCCUGGGAGCAGGUGUGGGCCGAGCACAGGGACGCCACCUCAUGUGCACUCAGCACCGUGUCAAGGCAUGGCCUUGUGUGGGGGAGGCGAGGCGAGGCGUGGCCUUGCGUGGGGGGUGGCUGGGGCUUGGCCAGCCAGCUCGACCCCCACCCCCAACCUCUGUGGCCACAAGUGACCCUCCCUGCUGCCCUUCCUGUUGACGGGUGCUGUUUCCAUGUACUUAUUAAUCCUGGUGCACCUUUAAGCACCCUUUGGGGUAGUCAUGUCCCCAUUUUAUACAAGCAGGGUGGGUUCAGAGAGGUUAGGUCCCUUGCCUAAGGGCGCAUAGCUGGUCUGUGUGAGAUCGGAGCUCAGGACUCUCUGACCCACGUGGGUCCUUUGAGGUGCUUGUUACUGCCGCUUUCGCCUGUCAUCAUGUUCUCGAGGGACCCCACAGACGCCGGAGUCCUGCUCAUUUGGGAAUGACUAGCCAGGAUGAGGGGUGCAGAGAGAGGUCUCCUGCCUCUCCCAGCCUCCCUCCCACCAGGGCCUUCUCCUGGGCUGGGGCGAUCUUGCUGCUGGGGUCACAGCAGACCUGUCCAGGCUGGUGACUGGGGGUCUGGGGAAAGAGUGGGCAGAAGACUCUGGGGAGGCGGGCGGCAGCGAGGAGAGGGUGCUGGUGUCGGUGGGCAGAGCCGCGUCUGCAGCCCCGCAUUCCCGCCUGAAUCUAUUCAGUUUCUUGUGGUGACUCCAUGCGUCAGGAGAGGUAAUUAGAACAGGACUUUUCAGCUAUUUAUGAUCAUACAUUUCCUUUUCUAAAAAAAGGAGAAGUUGUGGAGUGACUAAGAGUUGGGUGGAGGUGGCUGAGCUGAGGUGGGAUGGGCUUGGGAAGAGGCCCUGCAGAGAAUGUCGCAUGUGCAGAGCACUCUUGGAGCCCUUGCAGAACGGCCUCGGCCUUGGGCUAGAGGGGGUGGAGGGAGGGAGGCAGGCCCCACAGCACUGGCCGUGGAGGCCGGGUGGGAGUGGGCGGCAGAGGCUGGGUGAGGGAGGAAGAAGAUGGCUGAGGGGCUGCUGCUUCAUUGGAGGGGCCACGAGGUACUCAUCUCACCUCUGGGCUUCUCUGGAAAGUGGGGGUUGGUUCAGGGGUUCUGAAGAGGGGUCUGUGCGUGUGAAGCCGCCUGUCUGCCUCUCACAGCCCCUUCAGGCUGCCGCUGACUCCCAGGAGGGAAGCCCUCUGUGCCCAUGGUGUGGGCUUAGGCAGUGCUGGGCGCCUGCCUCACCAGGCGUGGCCAUGGCCAGAGGCUGUCCCCUUUGUGCAGGAGAUGCCUGCCCCGCCUGCCUGCUCUCCUGGUCAUCUUUCACGAGCAGGUGCAGUCAUAGUGGAAGAACCAGGUAGACGGCAGUGAGGACAUCAGUGACGACUGUGGCUGCCGUGCAUUCAUCGCCCGUGUGUGCAGGUUCUGUGUGCCUGGUUUUCUGUGCCGUGCUGCAUUUGAACUUCACAGUGAGCCUGAGGUGCUCUCUGCCCUCUGCUUUAUGGUUGAGUGUCCUGAGACUCAGAGAGGCUCAUUAUUUUUCCCAAGGUCACACACCUAGUUAGUGUCCUGGUAGGAUGUGGGCUGUGUUGGGUGUGUGUGCUGGGUUUGACUUGGGAGCUGGCCUGGGGAUGCACACCUCAAGUGACCGCUGCUUGGGGGCCACGGGGCUGGUCUCUGCCCCCUGUGGUGCCUCCAUCCACAUCCCCCCCUACCCGCAGCACCUCCGACAGGGCCGGCCUCCUGCAGUCUCCCACUCCUGCGGGUGCUCUCGCCACGGGCAGCCCUGGUCUCUGUCUCGGCUUCCUGGCCUUGCUGCUCUGCUCUCCCCUGCCCUUCCCAAGCCCAGGCCUAAGGCUGUGCCCUGGGUUUCUUCCUCCAAGGGCACUGGGCCCUGUUCUGCCCACUGUCUUAGCCCCUGCUGCCCAGGUGCCCUGCCCCCUGCUGUGACGUUCUCAGCGUCUGUGGGGAUCUGUUCUCCCGUGGGAGUCGUCGGUGUGCUUGGGGCCUGUACUCAAAAGCUCCGUGGUAAUUAGCGCGCUGGAGCACCCGCUGAUGAGGGGAUGAGCGUCAUUAUCUCUGUCGCUCUUUUGCAAGGGUCCUCUGGGCGCCUACUCAUGCGGUUCCCUCUGAUUGGAGUGCCCUUCCCCACCGCUGCCUCACAGGGCGCCCAGAUCCUUCCUGCAGCCUCCCUGGGUGAGCAGCCCCUCUGCCCGAUAAUUGCAGGCUGGGGCGGAGCCGCCCUCUACUGACACUCCUCCCGGCCCCCGUCGGCCGGUGUAUCCAGGGUGCCGAGGCCCCGUCCUCAGCUGACUUCUGCCGGGUGAUGCCGACUGCUCACAUUCACGUGGCCGUUCGUUACAUGAUGAGCACAUUCUAUUUCUUAGAACCAGGACAUCUCUGUAUCCAAGGAGGAGCAGCCUGUGGACAGUGUAACUCUGCUGGGUGCUUCUUGAAUGAGUCUGGGAGGCCCUGUCAGCACCGCCAGCCUCCUGUUUGUUCAGCAGUUAAUCACCGCAUUUGUUGAGGUGGAAAUGAAGUGGACUUGCCCACAAGUAGAGUCAGCUGUUAAAAAGCCAUAGCAAGUCACCCCCACUGUGCCUGCUCGUUCACUCCCGGUGACAAAACAAUUUCUUGGAAGGGUACAAACAACAAACUUUCUAAUACUUUUCUUCUGUGCCAGCCAGUGCUAGCCUGGAGUUAUGCUGGAGAGAGCCGUCACGAAGGGAAGCUCUCAGAGAUUUACUGAUCAAUAAAGGAGACGAUUACAGGUUGUUUACCAAG